rnacentral:lncRNA from 1 species
UUCUUAAAACAACAAUCAUGCAGCCAGUUUAUUACAAGUUGUCUUAAGUAUGAAAAUGUCUCAUGUCUCAUUUUAGUUUGCAGCCAGGUUAUACGUAGAUAGCUACCUAUAUGAAUAAGAUCACCACACAUGGAGUCCAUGGCAAGUCACGCAACACGACCCAUGGAAAAGAGGGGACAGGGAGAGAGGACCUGGAACAGAGUAUGGAACCCUUGGAACAACAUUAAGCUGAAGUCAGCGAAGAAAAUUCCCAAACGGAUCAACAGCCUUUAGAGUCUACAGUACUCUGAACUGUUGGACUCUUCAGGAGUAGAAAUAAUAAUAAUGAUAAUGUGUUAACUGACAUCUUAAGUCUAGGUCUGCACGAUUUAGCGUAUUUUAAUAUCGAUGACUAAUUAAUUAAAAAUAAUCGUCACGCUAUUAGCCGGCUCGUUAUUUAUCCUGAAACUUUGUUUUUAAUUUGGCAUUUGCGUUAUCUUGAAUUGCUAACAAGUCUUCCCUGGAGUUCAUUUUUGUGGUUUCCAGGUGUGAAGAGCUUUAAUCCCCAAAACAGAGCUUUUGUCUUUUAAAGAUACAAUUUCUCCCCGGUGUUUUAUUUAAUUUGUGCAAUCUGGGAACCCUGUGCGUGCUCACUGAUGGUGGAACAAGCGCUGAUGAUAAAAACAUGCGAGUUUAGCGAUCUCUCCACAGCGAUAUUCUGCUUACUUGAACGUGUCAUAUAGACAGUGUUUUUACACAAGCCAUUUGUACUGUUUGUGUUAAAUAUGCCAUGAUCAAACUUUCACUGAGUUUCCUUUUUUUGUCACAUGCUUUUCCUACAUGUGACAGUGAAUGGGGAAAAUCUACAUGAAUUGGAAUUGUUGGAAUUUAUAUUAAAGGAACACUCCGACUUUUUGGGACUUUAGCUGAUUCACAGUAUCCCGUUCCGUAGUGUGCGUUCUGUAAGUGUUAUUUGACGCACCCACCGCUAGCCUAGCUUAGCACAAAGACUGAAUGUAAAUGGAUAAUGGUAGCAUAGUAAUCCCAAUAAGUGACAAAAUAAUGCAAACAUUUUCCUAUUUACAUGUUGUGAUCUGUAUAGUCACAGCGUGUACAAAUAACAAGGCUAUAUGAGACAGAGAUCAUUUUUAAUCGUAUAAAUAAUGGGAACUAUAUUCUCACUAGGCGUAGGAGCACAGCUAAUGUUACUUGGGCGCAGUGGCUACUUGGGCGUAGUGAUUAGCGCAGCACCCGAGACGCCCUGUUGAUGGUUUCCGUAAACAAAACAAAAAUGUGACUAACUA